rnacentral:rRNA from 1 species
GACGAACGCUGGCGGCGUGCUUAACACAUGCAAGUCGAACGGGCCUGUCUUCUUUUUUGGGGGGUGGGUUGAGUGGCGAACGGGUGAGUAUCACGUGAGUAACCUGCCCUUCGGUCCUGGAUAACCGCUUGAAAGGGCGGCUAAUACGGGGUGGUCCGGUUGGUCCGCAUGGGCUGGUCGGGAUAGAUUCACUGUUUUUGGUGUUUCGGCGGGGGAUGGGCUCGCGGCCUAUCAGCUUGUUGGUGGGGUGAUGGCCUACCAAGGCGGUGACGGGUAGCCGGCCUGAGAGGGUGGGCGGCCACACUGGGACUGAGAUACGGCCCAGACUCCUGCGGGAGGAAGCAGUGGGGGGUAUUGCACAAUGGGCGGAAGCCUGAUGCAGCGACGUCGCGUGAGGGAGGGAGGCCUUCGGGUUGUGAACCUCUGUUUCCGGUGGUGAAGGCCCUGUCCGUGUGGUGGGGUUGACGGUAGCCGGGGAUGAAGCGCCGGCUAACUACGUG